GGAUCAUUGGUGAUUAGUUGUAAGCCGGGUGGAUUCCCGUGAGACUGUGUUGCUGGCCUAAUUAAAAUGCUCAUGGAUUUGGGUAUUUGAUCUGGGUUGGUCGGAGACCUUUUCGCACUAACCGGCUAAGCGGGAAGAAUUAUGGGUACUCGGCGUCGAGGUAUCAGCCGAAGCUUUUCAGAUGCCAGCAAUGUAGCGGCGCGCGCCCGAGUGGUCCCGAGAUGCAUCGCGCUUGUGAUUAAGGGAUGCUAGGACUGACGUCGGCCGCCCAUGCCACGUGCAGGAGCGUGAAGGGGAACUGGGCCCAUGAACCCUUUGUGCUUAGGAUUUAGACUGGCGGGCUGGCCUCUCUGAUUAGUCUUAGGUGGGGCNNNNNNNNNNNNNNNNNNNNNNNNNNNNNNNNNNNNNNNNNNNNNNNNNNNNNNNNNNNNNNNNNNNNNNNNNNNNNNNNNNNNNNNNNNNNNNNNNNNNCAACUCCAAGAUCCGUCAUGAACUGCUUCAUCCAGACACCCUCCUUAGGUGCCUCCGAGACAGCCAUGUACUCCGCUUCACAUGUAGAAUCUGCUACGACGCUUUGCUUGGAACUGCACCAGCUUACUGCACCCCCAUUAAGAAUAAAUACGUAUCCGGUUUGUGACUUAGAGUCGUCCGGAUCUGUGUCAAAGCUUGCAUCGACGUAACCUUUUACGGCGAGCUCUUCGUCACCUCCAUACACGAGAAACAUCUCCUUAGUCCUUUUCAGGUACUUCAGGAUAUUCUUGACCGNNNNNNNNNNNNNNNNNNNNNNNNNNNNNNNNNNNNNNNNNNNNNNNNNNNNNNNNNNNNNNNNNNNNNNNNNNNNNNNNNNNNNNNNNNNNNNNNNNNNNNNNNNNNNNNNNNNNNNNNNNNNNNNNNNNNNNNNNNNNNNNNNNNNNNNNNNGGAUUACUCUGGAACCUACCUGCCAUACUUAUGGCCAGGCUAACAUCCGGUCUAGUGCACAGCAUCGCAUACAUGAUAGAACCUAUGGCUGAAGCAUAGGGGACGGAGCGCAUAUGCUCUCUAUCUUCAUCAGUUGCUGGGCACUGAGUCUUACUCAAUCUCGUACCUUGUAAAACUGGCAAGAACCCUUUCUUGGACUGUUCCAUUUUGAACCUCUUCAAAACUUUAUCAAGGUAUGUGCUUUGUGAAAGUCCUAUCAGGCGUUUUGAUCUAUCCCUAUAGAUCUUAAUGCCUAGAAUGUAAGCAGCUUCUCCUAGGUCCUUCAUAGAGAAACUUUUAUUCAAGUAAUCCUUUAUGCUCUCCAAAAACUCUACNNNNNNNNNNNNNNNNNNNNNNNNNNNNNNNNNNNNNNNNNNNNNNNNNNNNNNNNNNNNNNNNNNNNNNNNNNNNNNNNNNNNNNNNNNNNNNNNNNNNGAAUUCUUUACCAAGAAAAUAUUUAUGUUAUACAAAAAUAUUGUUUUCUUCACACCCAAAUUUUCUUUCCAAAGCUCUUCAGACUGCAUCAAAUGCUUGUGUUGAACAAUAUCUUCUACCAUACCACAAAGUAAACGUUCAUGUUUUGCAUGUAUAUCAAAUAACUUUCUGCACGUUUACAUUCUUGUAUUGCUUCCACUCAAUUUAUUUAAUGAAAAAAUAAUUAUUUGCAUCAAACGCGGAUAUUAUUUCCGAGACACCAAAAUGAAUUUCCAAACCAAAGAAAUGCUACCAUAGCAUAGAAUNNNNNNNNNNNNNNNNNNNNNNNNNNNNNNNNNNNNNNNNNNNNNNNNNNNNNNNNNNNNNNNNNNNNNNNNNNNNNNNNNNNNNNNNNNNNNNNNNNNNNNNNNNNNNNNNNNNNNNNNNNNNNNNNNNNNNNNNNNNNNNNNNNNNNNNNNNNNNUACCAUAGCAUAGAAUAAUGCUUCUAUCAAUACAAAAAAUAUUUCUAUUAUAGGAUCAAAAAUAUGUUUGCAUGCCACGAAAAUGAAUGCUUCUCUCGAUGCAUACCAUAGCAUAGAAUAAGCAUGUUGGGCUGCACAAAAAUGUAUCUCCAAUAAUACAAAUAUUUUAUAUAUUCUUGUUGGAAGCAAAUCAUAACUUAUCAAAAAAUCUGAUAAUAAAGGAUAUUUAGCGUGAUUAAUGGGAAACAAUUUUUAACUAGCGGCAAGUACUAUCAAUCUACCACGUGAUGCAUUCAAUGUGCAGCAAUUACAAGAAAGCAGACAAUCAUUAGGAAGCAAUUAACGCUCCAAUCAAAAUUCACGCGGGGUUAUACUAGCUGAUCGGACUACUAGGGUGCAUAUAUAUGAUCGGAUGGCCGAGUGGUCUGAUAGAAAUCGAAUCAUCAGUAGUCUCAUGCCUAGUCGUUCCCAUAUUUAUCAGCCUGUUUGAGACUCCAAAAACAAAGAGGUAUGUGAUUCUGUAAGUAAACCGACUUCAAAACUUUUCCAGUAGCAAUUUUCCUCUCUUUUGUAAUUUUUAGAAAAAUAGAAAAAUAGAAAAAUUUAAAGUAGUCCGGAAAGCGCACGAGGAGGCGACAAGCCUGCCAGGCCUAGCCUACCCCUUGGUCGGGCCUGGGUGGCUUGUGGGAACCUCGUGUGCCUCCCGGACUCCGUUUUCUUGCGGAGUACUCCUUUUGGUCGGGAAAAAUUCAUUAUAUAUUCUCCCGAAAGGUCUGACCCUCGUAUCAUGCAAAUUCCCUCUGUUUUCGUUUCGAGCCUGUUUCUACCGCAGAUUUAGGGCAAGAUGUCUUCUCAAGAUUCAGUGGGGAGAGCUAUGUGGCCGAUUACCUUGCUAACCCCAAGGUCUAUGGGGACUUGGAUCUUUAUGGUUGGACCACUGAUGACGAAGAAGAUUAUGAUGCCAAGGGGAAGGAAGGAACAAGUUCCGAUGAAGAGGAGGCUCCUCUACUCCAACCUGGAGACACACAUGUGGAGUUCAAGAAGUCGAGCCUCCCCGACUCAAGGAAGAAACCUAAGAUUUUGUUUAUCCCUUCUCGUCUUUUGCAGGAGAGUAGGCAAGAAUUAUGCCAAAGGGUGUUGAGGCUUGAAGAGGAAAUUAACGAUCUGAAGGAGCAUAAUUUUGUGCUCAAGAGGAAAUUAAACAAGUUCAAGACCUCUCAACAACUCCACCACCGUCACCUUCGAAGGAAGACAACUGAGCACGGGUAUGGGCAAUCCCCUUGGCUUGUGCCAAGCUUGGGGGAGUUGCCCAGGUAUCGUAUCACCAUCACAUCUUUUACUUUUACCUUUUCUUAGUUCGAUCCUUUUUGGUUUUAUCUUUUUCUAGUAGAAUAAAGCUCUUAGUAUGUUCUAGGCUUGAGUUUUGCUUUGUGUCACCCCCGAUGUAAUCGAGCUCGUGAGUCAUAUAAUAAAGAGUGCUUUAGUUAAGGGCCUUGCCUCAUGCCAUGAUCUAAAGAAAAGAAUGAUAAAAGAACAACAUCAUGAAAGAUCAUGUAAAGAUCUUAUGGGAAGUGAUGGCUUCACAUAUAAAAAGAAUGAUGAUUGAAACUUGUUGUGAGUGAACAAACGUAGACCAUGGUCAAUGUUGCAAUUAAUAGGAAGUGAUAAAGAAGGAGAGGUUCACAUAUAAAUAUAUCAUCUUUGACACCAUCUAUGAUUGUGAACACUCAUUAAACUAUUACAUGCUUAGAAGUAGAUGUUGUACAAGGAAGACAACAUAAUGAAUUAUGUUUGCUUGGUUCCGAACAAUGUUAUAUGACUAGAGAUCCCUUAGCAUGUGACGCUUGCUUCCACCUCAUAUCAGCCAAAACUUCCGCACUAAGUAGAGAUACUACUUGUGCAUCCACAAACCUUCAAUCCAGUUUUGCCAUGAGAGUCCACCAUACCUACCUAUGGAUUGAAGAAGAUCCUUCAAGUAAGUUGUCAUCGGUGCAAGCAAUAAAAAUUGUUCCCUAAAUAUGUAUGAUCUAUUAGUGUGUGGAAAAUAAGCUUUGUACGAACCUGUGAUGAGGAAGACAUAAAAGCGACGGACUGCAUAAUAAAGUUCUUUAUCACAUGAGGCAAUAUAAAGUGACGUUUGAUACGUCUCCAACGUAUCUAUAAUUUUUGAUGGUUUCAUUCUAUUAUCCUGUCAAACUUUGGAUGUUUUGUAUGCCUUUUAUAUAUUUUUUGGGACUAACUUAUUAACUCAGUGCCAAGUGCCAGUUCCUGUUUUUCCAUGUUUUUGACCCCUUUCAUAGGAGGAUUUUAAACGGAGUCCGAAUGGAACGAAACUGCCAAAAAGAUCUUUUCCGAAACAGAAAAAGAUCGGGAAGCCUCAGAAUCAGGGCAGGGGGCCUGCAGGGACUCCACAAGCCCCCUAGCCACGGCCAGGGGGCCCGCGCCUCCCAGGCUUGUGGGCUCCCUGGGCCACCUCUGCCCUAGGUCUUUUGCCUAUAAAUUUCCUAAAAUCCCAGAAAAAUCAGGAGAUCAUCGAAAGUACUUUUCCGCCGCCGCAAACUUCUGUCUCUCCAAGAUCCCAUCUGGGGCACGUUCUGGUGCUCGGCCGGAGGGGGCAUUCGGACAUGGAGGGCUUCUUCAUCAACACCAUGACCUCUCCGAUGAUGCAUGAGUAGUUCACCAUAGACCUACGGGUCCAUAGCUAGUAGCUAGAUGGCUUUUUCUCUCUCUUGGAUCUUCAAUACAAAGUUCUCCAUGAUCUUCAUGGAGAUCUAUCCGAUGUAAUCUUCUUUUGCGGUGUGUUUGUCGAGAUCUGAUGAAUUGUGAAUUUAUGAUCAGAUUAUCUAUGAAUCUUAUUUGAGUUUCUUCUGAUCUGUCUUAUGCAUGAUUUCAUAUCCUUGUAAUUCUUUUCGAGUUGUGGGUUUUGUCUGGCCAACUAGAUCUAUGAUUCUUGCAAUGGGAGAAGUGCUUAGUUUUGGGUUCAUACCGUGCGGUGACUUCACCCAGUGACAGAAGGGGUAGCGAGGCACGCACCGUGUUGUUGCCAUCAAGGGUAAAAAGAUGGGGUUUUCAUCAUUGGUUUGAGAUUAUGCCUCUACAUCAUGUCAUCUUGCUUAAGGCGUUACUCUGUUUGUCAUGAACUCAAUACACUAGAUGCAUGCUGGAUAGCGGUCAAUGUGUGGAGUAAUAGUAGUAGAUGCAUAAAGUAUCGAUCUACUUGUCUCGGACGUGAUGCCUAUAUGUAUGAUCAUUGCCUUGGAUAUCGUCAUGACUUUGCGCGGUUCUAUCAAUUUGUCGACAGUAAUUUGUUCACCCACCGUAAUAUUUGCUAUUUUGAGAGAAGCCUCUAGUGAACACUAUGGCCCCCGAGUCUACUCCAAACCAUAUUUUGAACCUUACACCUUUUCUUCGUUGCACUUUCCGCCUUCAGAUCUCACUGUGCAAUCGAUCUUGAAGGGAUUGACAACCCCUUUAUAGUGUUGGGUGCAAGCUCUUUGUGUUUGUGCAGGUACUCUGGACAUGACAAGAUUCUCCUACUGGAUUGAUACCUUGGUUCUCAAACUAAGGGAAAUAUUACUACUCCUGUGCUGCAUCACCCUUUCCUCUUCAAGGGAAAACCAACGCAAGCUCAAGAGACGACAGAAGGUUUCUGUCGACGUAGCAGAAGUAUUUCUGGCGCCGUUGCCGGGGAAGGAUUUUUGUUGCCGUAGCAGAAGAAUUUCUGGCGCCGUUGCCGGGGAGGAUCAAGUCAAGAACUCAUCCAAGUAAGUGUCGCAAACUAAUCUCCUGCAUUUACUUUUUUGCCUCUCGUUUUCCUCUCCCCCACUUCUGAAAAACAAAAAUUUACAAAAAAAUCUUUGCCUUUUUUGUUUGCCUUCUUCGUUUGCCUUUUUUAUCGCUUGCUCUUUGUUCGCUUGUGUGCUUGCUUUCUUGCUGAAGUCACCAUGACUGAAAACAGCAAACUUUGUGACUUCUCGAAUACUAAUAAUAAUGAUUUUAUUAGUACUCUGAUUGUUCCCGCCACUAGUGUGGAGUCAUACGAAAUCAAUGCCGCUUUGCUGAAUCUUGUUAUGAAAGAUCAAUUCUCCGGCCUUCCUAGUGAAGAUGCCGCAUCCCAUCUUAACACCUUCAUUGAGCUUUGCGAUAUGCAAAGGAAGAAAGAUGUGGAUAAUUAUGUGAUUAAAUUGAAGCUUUUUCCUUUCUCGUUGCGAGAUCGAGCAAAAACUUAGUUUUCUUCUUUGCCCAAAAAUAGUAUCAAUUCUGGGGAUAAGUGCAAAGAUGCUUAUAUAUCCAAGUAUUUUCCGCCGGCUAAGAUUAUCUCUCUCCGUAAUGAUAUCAAGAAUUUUAAGCAACUUGAUCAUGAACAUGUUGCACAAUCUUGGGAGAGAAUGAAAUUGAUGAUUAGCAACUGUCCCGCUCAUGGCUUGAGUCUUUGGAUGAUUAUACAAAUCUUCUACGCUGGCUUGAAUUUUGCUUCUAGAAAUAUCUUGUACUCCGCCUAAGGUAGAAUGUUCAUGGAAAUCACGUUAGGGGAAGCCACAAAACUCCUAGACAAUAUCAUGACGAACUACUCUCAGUGGCACACUGAAAGGUCACCUACUAGUAAGAAAGUACACUCUAUAGAAGAAAUUAACUCGUUGAGUGGUAAGAUGGAUGAGUUAAUGAAUUUGGUUGCUAGUAGAAGUUCUCAUUUAGAUCCUAAUGAUAUGCCCUUGCCUUCCUUGAUUGAGAGUAGCAACNNNNNNNNNNNNNNNNNNNNNNNNNNNNNNNNNNNNNNNNNNNNNNNNNNNNNNNNNNNNNNNNNNNNNNNNNNNNNNNNNNNNNNNNNNNNNNNNNNNNNNNNNNNNNNNNNNNNNNNNNNNNNNNNNNNNNNNNNNNNNNNNNNNNNNNNNNNNNNNNNNNNNNNNNNNNNNNNGCUUGGACGUUAAUUUCGUUGGUAGGAAUAAUUUUGGCAACAACAAUGCUUUUAGAGGAAACUAUGUUCCUAGGCCUUUUCCUAGUAACUCCUCUAAUAACUUUGGCAACUCCUACAACAAUACUCAUGGAAAUUACAAUAGAUUACCCUCUGAUCUGGAGAGUAAGAUCAAAGAGUUUAUCAACUCGCAAAAGAUUUUCAAUGCGUCCAUAGAGGAAAAACUACUCAAAAUUGACGAUUUGGCUAAGAGCGUUGAUAGAAUGUCUAGUGAUAUUGAUUCUUUGAAAGUUAGAUGUGCUCCUCCCAAGAUCAAUAUGGAUGAAACUUUGAAAGCUAUGAGUGUUUACAUGAUUGAGAGCAAAGAAAGAACUGCCCAAAUCGUGCUAGACAUGAAUGGCUUAAAAAGGCGUGUUCUCAUGAUAAGAAUCACAAAGAUCUUAAAGUGCUUGGUGUGACUCCCAUUGAAUCUUUGUUUUCUUGUGUCAAACUUAAUGAUGAUGGGGCUGGAUAUGUAUCCACUUUCGUUGAAAAGCACCCCAAUGAUUCGUAGUCCAUCUAUCUUGAUGCUAAAAGCAUUGAAAGUGGAGUAGAAGAUAUUAAAGCUUUGAGUAGUAAUGAAACUACUACUUUGUAUUUGAAGGAAUUCAAUUAUGAUAGUUUCUCCUUGAUUGAAUGCAUUUCCUUGAUGCAAUCCAUGCUAAACUCUCCACACGCUUAUAGCCAAAACAAGGCCUUUACUGAUCAUAUCGUCGAAGCUAUGAUAAAAUCUCUUGAAGAGAAACUUGAAUUGGAAGUCUAUAUCCCUAGAAAGCUUCAUGAUGAGUGGGAACCUACUAUCAAAAUCAAAAUAAAAAACUAUGAAUGCAAUGCUUUGUGUGAUUUGGGUGCUAGUGUUUCCGCGAUUCCAAAGUCUUUAUGUGAUGUUCUGGGUUUUAAUGAGAUUGAAGAGUGUUCUCUUAAUUUGCAUCUUGCAGAUUCUAGUGUCAAGAAACCCAUGGGAAGGAUCAAUAAUGUUCUUAUUAUUGCAAAUAGGAACUAUGUACCCAUGGAUUUCAUUGUGCUUCACAUUGAUUGCAAUCCUACAUGCCCCAUUAUUCUUGGUAGACCUUUCCUAAGGACUAGUGGUGCUAUCAUCGAUAUGAAGCAAGGGAAUAUUAGAUUUCAAUUUCCUUUAAAGAAGGGCAUGGAGCACUUUCCUAGAAAGAAAAUAAGAUUUCCUUAUAAAUCCAUGAUGAGGGCCACUUAUGGUUUGAGCACCAAAGAUGACGAUACGUGAUUUUAUCGCCUUAUGCCUAGCUAAGGGCGUUAAACAAUAGCGCUUGUUGGGAGGCAACCCAAUGAAUUUAUCAUUUGCUUUCUGUUUUGUUGCGUCCACACCAUCAUAAUUAUGGUGUGAUUGUGUUUUUUGUGUUUCGUUUUGUGUUUGAGCCAAGCAAAACCUUUAUGACUAGUCGUCGUGAUGGUUGUUUGAUCCUGCUGGAAAAAGACAGAAAAUUUUCGCUCACGAGAUGAUUUUUCAUUUUUAGUCAGAAAGAGCUAUUGAGUUGAUUCUUUUUGCUGCUGGUUGACAUGCCUUUUUCCCAGGCAGUCGUAAUUGUUCAGAACUUUUGAGGUACAGAAGUAUACGAAGUAUAAAGAUUGCUACAGACUUGUGUGUUUUUAACAGAUUCUGUUUUUGUUGAGUUGGUUGCUUGUUGUGAUAAAACUAUGGAUAGUAUCGGGGGGUACUAGCCAUGGAAAAGUGAGAAUAAAGUAUCCCAACUCCAAUAUAAACAGAAAUAAAGAUUGCUACAGUAAUUAAAGAGGUGGUAGUUUGUUUUCUUGUGCUAAUGUUAUCACGAGUUUCUGUUUAAGUUUUGUAUUGUGAAGUUUUCAAGUUUUGGGUGAUGUUCUCAUGGAAAAAGAGAUAAGGAGUGGAAAGAGCUCAAGCUUGGGGAUUCCCAAGGCAUCCCAAGCCAAAUUCAAGGACACCAAAAAUCCUAAGCAUGGGGAUGCCCCGGGAAGACAUCCCCUCUUUCGUCUUCAAUCCAUCGGUAACAUUACUUGGAGCUAUAUUUUCAUUCACCACAUGAUAUGUGUUUUGCUUGGAGCGUCUUGUAUCUUAGGAGUCUUUUCUUUUUGUUGUGUCACAAUCAUCAUUGCUGCACACCUUUAGUGAGAGACAUGAACUCAUCGUGAUUUUGCUAGAAUGCUCAUAGUGCUUCACUUAUAUCUUUUGAGCUAGAUAAUUUUUCUCUAUGUGCUUCACUUAGAUCUUUUAGAGCACGGCGGUGCGUGACUUGGUAGUUGGCUUAUGCUAUGAAAGUAGUCCCAAAGGUGAUCGGUACCCAAAGAGGAUACAAAAACCCCCAUCUUCAUGUGCAUUGAGAAGAAAGAGAAGUCUUGAUUCCUCUCAAUUAGUUUUGAGACGUGGAUUUGGUAAUAUUAAGAGUUAUGUUAGUAGGGUGUUGUGAAUCUAGAAAUACUUUUGUUGAAGUUAGUGAUUCCCGUAGCAUGCACAUAUGGUGAACCGCUGUGUUAGGAAGUCGGAGCAUAAUUGAUCUAUUGAUUGUCAUCCUUUGUGUUGAGGUCGGGAUCGCGCGAUGGUUAACACCUACCAACCCUUCCCCUAGGAGUAUGCGUUUAGCACUUUGUUUCGAUUAUUAAUAAAAACUUUCGCAACAAGUGUGUGAGUUCUCCAUGACUAAUGUGAGUCCGUGGUAUAGAUGGACUUUCACCUUCCACCAUUGCUAGCCUCUCUAGUGCCGCGCAACUUUCGCCGGUGCACAAACCCACCAUAUGCCUUCCUCAAAACAGCCACCAUACCUACCUACUAUGGCAUUUUCAUAGCCAUUCCGAGAUAUAUUGCCAUGCAACUCCCACCGUUCCGUCUCAUGACUUGUGCCGUCACUCUCAUAUUGCCAUUGCAUGAUCGUAAGAUAGCUAGCGAGAUGUCUCAAUGUCAUACGCCAAGCUAGAUCGUUGCACAUCCUGGUACACUGCCGGAGGCAUUUCCUAUAGAGUCAUCAUCGUUCUGAGUUUUGAGCUGUGAGUAAAUAAAAGUGUAAUGAUCAUCAUUAUUAGAGUAUUGUCCCAUGUGAGGAAAUAAAAAAAAAGAGGUCAAAGAGCCCAAAUAAAAAAAGAGGCCUAAGUGCCCAAAUAAAAAAAGAGAGAGAAAAAGAGAGAAGGUACAAUGCUACUAUCUUUUUCCACACUUGUGCUUCAUAAUAGAACCAUGUUCUUCAUGAUUGAGAGCUUCUUGCUUUGUCACUACCAUAUGCUAGUGGUAAUCUUCAUUAUAUAACUUGGCUUGUAUAUUCCAAUGAUGGGCUUCCUCAAAUUGCCCUAGGUCUUCAUGAGCAAGCAAGUUGGAUGCACACCCACUAGUUCUCCUUUUGAGCUUUCACAUACUUAUAGCUCUAGUGCAUCCUUUGUAUGGCAAUCCCUACUCAUUCACAUUGAUAUCUAUUAAUGGGCAUCUCCCUAGCCCUUUGAUAUGCCGAGUCAAUGUGACCAUCUCCUGCUUUUUUGUCUCACAACCACCACCACACUCUAUUCCACCUAUAGUGCCAUAUCCAUGGCUCACGCUCAUGUAUUGAGUGAUAGUUAUAAAAAGUUUGAAAAACUAAGAGUGCGAAAACAAUUACUUGGCCAAUACCGGGGUUGUGCAUGAUUUACAUUAGUUGUGUGAGGAUGACGGAGCAUAGCCAGACUAUAUGAUUUUGUAGGAAUAACUUUCCUUGGCCUUGUUAUUUUGAAACUUCAUGAUUACCUUGCUAGUUUGCUUGAAAUAUUAUUGUUUUCAUGUCAGUAGCAAACUAUUGUUUUGAAUCUUACAGAUCUGAACAUUCAUGUCACAAGAAAGAAGUUGCAAAGGACAACUAUGUUGGAAUUAUGCCCUAGAGGCAAUGAUAAAUAAGUUGUUAUUAUAAUUCCUGUAUCAAGAUAAUCGUUUAUUAUCCAUGCUAUAAUUGUAUUGAAUGAAGACUUAGAUACAUGUGUGGAUACAUAGACAAAACAUUGUCCCUAGCAAGCCUCUAGUUGGAUAGCCAGUUGAUCAAGGAUAGUCAGGGUCUUCUGACUAUGUACAAGGUGUUGUUGCUUGAUAACUGGAUCACAUCAUUGGGAGAAUCAUGUGAUGGACUAGACCCAAACUAAUAGACGUAGCAUGUUGAUCGUGUCAUUUUGUUGCUACUGUUUUCUGCGUGUCAAGUACUUAUUCCUAUGACCAUGAGAUCAUAUAACUCACUGACACCGGAGGAAUGCUUUGUGUGUAUCAAUAGUCACAACGUAACGAGGUGACUAUAAUGAUGCUCUACAAGUAUCUCCGAAGGUGUCCGUUGAGUUAGUAUGGAUCAAGACUGGGAUUUGUCACUCCGUGUGACGGAGAGGUAUCUCGGGGCCCACUCGGUAAUACAACAUCACACACAAGCCUUGCAAGCAAUGUGACUUAGUGUAAGUCACGAGAUCUUGUAUUAUGGAAUGAGUAAAGAGACUUGCCGGUAAACGAUAUUGAAAUAGGUAUGCGAAUACUGACGAUCGAAUCUCAGGCAAGUAACACACCGAAGGACAAAGGGAAUGACAUACGGGAUUAUAUGAAUCCUUGGCACUAAGGUUCAAACGAUAAGAUCUUCGUAGAAUAUGUAAGAUCCAAUAUGGGCAUCCAGGACCCGCUAUUGGAUAUUAACGGAGGAGUCCCUCGGGUCAUGUCUACAUAGUUCUCAAACCCGCAGGGUCUGCACACUUAAGGUUCGGCGUUGUUUUAUGCGUAUUUGAGUUAUAUGGUUGGUUACCGAAUGUUGUUUAGAGUCCCGGAUGAGAUCACGGACAUCACGAGGGUUUCCGGAAUGGUCCGGAGACGAAGAUUGAUAUAUAGGAUAACCUCAUUUGAUUACCGGAAAGUUUUCAGAAUUACCAGGAAUGUACCGGGAGUGACGAAUGGGUUCCGGAUAUUCACUCGGGGGGCAGCCCACCCCGGGGAAGCCCAUAGGCCUUAGGGGUGCCGCACCAGCCCUUAGUGGGCUGGUGGGAAAGCCCAAGAAGGCCCCUGCGCAGGAUAAGAGAAAAUCAAAGAGAAAAGAAAAAAAAGGGAAGUGGGAAGGAAGGCAAGGACUCCACCUUCCAAUCCUAGUUGGACUAGGAUUAGAGGAGGAUUCCUCCUCCCCCAUUCGGCCGACCCCCUUGGGGCUCCUUGAGCCUCAAGGCAAGGCCCCUCCCCUCCCACCUAUAUAUACGCAGGUAUUAGGGCUGAUUUGAGAGAACUUUGCCACGGCAGCCCGACCACAUACCUCCACGGUUCUUCCUCUAGAUCGCGUUUCUGCAGAGCUCGGGCGGAGCCGUGCUGAGAUUAAACCACCACCAACCUCCGGAGCGCCGUCACGCUGCUGGAGAACUCAUCUACCUCUCCGUCUCUCUUGCUGGAUCAAGAAGGCCGAGAUCAUCGUCGAGCUGUACGUGUGCUGAACGCGGAGGUGCCGCCCGUUCGACACUAGAUCGGAGCGGAUCGUGGGAUGGAUCGCGGGACGGUUCGUGGGAUGGUUCCCGGGGCGGAUCGAGGGACGUGAGGACGUUCCACUACAUCAACCGCGUUUAUUAACGCUUCUGUUGUGCGAUCUACAAGGGUACGUAGAUCUGAAAUCCCCCUCGUAGAUGGACAUCACCAUGAUAGGUCUUCCUGCGCGUAGGAAAAUUUUUGUUUCCCAUGCGACGUUCCCCAACAGUGGCAUCAUGAGCUAGGUUCAUGCGUAGAUGUCAUCUCGAGUAGAACACGAAAGUUUUUGUGGGCGGUGAUGUGCGAUUUGCUACCCUCCUUAGUCUUUUCUUGAUUCCGCGGUAUUGUUGGAUCGAAGCGGCUCGGACCGACAUUACUCGUACGCUUACGAGAGACUGGUUUCAUCGCUACGAGCAACUCCGUUGCUCAAAGAUGACUGGCGAGUGUCGGUUUCUCCAACUUUAGUUGAAUCGGAUUUGACUAAGGACAUCCUUGGAUGAGGUUAAAUAGCAAUUCAUAUAUCUCCGUUGUGGUGUUUGCGUAAGUAAGAUGCGAUCCUACUAGAUACCCAUGGUGACCACGUAAAACAUGUAACAACAAUUAGAGGGCGUCUAACUUGUUUUUGCAGGGUAUGCUUGUGAUGUGAUAUGGUCGACGAUUUGAUGUGAUAUAUUAGAUGUAUGAGAUGAUAAUGUUGUAAUAGUUAAUAUCGACUUGCACGUCAAUGGUACGGCAACCAGAAGGAGCCAUAGGGUUGUCUUUAAACUAAUGUUUGUGCUUGCAGAUGCGUUUACUAUAUUGCUAGGAUGUAGCUUUAGUAGUAAUAGCAUGAUUAGCACGACAACCCCGAUGGCGACACGUUGAUGGAGAUCAUGGUGUGGCGCCGGUGACAAGAAGAUCGUGCCGGUGCUUUGGUGAUGGAGAUCAAGAAGCACGUGAUGAUGGUCAUAUCAUGUCACUUAUGAAUUGCAUGUGAUGUUAACCCUUUUAUGCACCUUAUUUUGCUUAGAACGACGGUAGCAUUAUGAAGUGAUCUCUCACUAAAAUUUCAAGACAAAAUUGUGUUCUCCCCGGCUGUGCACCGCUGCUACAGUUUGUCGUUUUGAGACAACACGUGAUGAUCGGGUGUGAUAGACUCAACGUUCACAUACAACGGGUGCAAAACAGUUGCACACGCGGAACACUCGGGUUAAGCUUGACGAGCCUAGGAUGUGCAUACAUGGCCUCGGAACACAUGAGAACGAAAGGUCGGUCAUGAAUCAUAUAGUUGAUAUGAUUAGCAUAGGGAUGCUUACCACUGAAACUAUCCUCAACUCACGUGAUGAUCGGACUUGAGCUUGUGGAAUUGGAUCAUGAACCACUCAAAUGACUAGAGAGAUGUACUUUUUGAGUGGGAGUUUAGCAAGCAGUUUGAUUAAGUUAAACUCUAAUUAUCUUGAACAUAGUCUAAGUCCACUUUGAAUAUAUUUGUGUUGUAGAUCAUGGCUCACGCAACAGUCACCCUGAAUUUUAAUACGUUCCUAGAGAAAGCUAAGUUAAAAGAUGAUGGAAGCAACUUUAUAGACUGGGCUCGUAAUCUUAAGUUGCUCCUGCAAGCUAGGAAGAAGGAUUAUGUCCUUAAUGCUGCGCUAGGAGAUGAACCGCCCGCUACGGCUCACCAAGAUGUUAAGAACGCUUGGUUAACACGUAAGGAAGACUACUGAGUAGUUCAAUGUGCAGUCUUGUAUGGCUUAGAGCCGGGACUUCAACGUCGCUUUGAGCGUCAUGGAUCAUAUGAGAUGUUCCAGGAGUUGAAGUUUAUCUUUUAGAAGAACGCCCGGAUCGAGAGGUAUGAGACCUCCGAUAAAUUCUAUGCUUACAAGAUGGAGGAGAAUUCGUCUGUCAGUGAACAUGUGCUCAAGAUGUUUGGGUACUCAAACCGUCUAGCUGAGCUGGGGAUUGAACUCCCGCAAGAGGCUAUCACUGACAUAAUUCUUCAAUCACCGCCGCCAAGCUAUAAGGGCUUUGUGUUGAACUACAACAUGCAAGGGAUGAACAAGUCACCCGGCGAGUUGUUCGCGAUGCUGAAAGUCGCACAGUCAGAACUCCGUAAAGAGCAUCAAGUGUUGAUGGUGAAUAAGACCACUAGUUUCAAGAAAAACGAUAAAGGAAAGAAGGGUAAUUCAAAGAAGAGCUGCAAGCCUGUUGCCAAUCCGACGAAGAAAGGCAAAGCUGGACCUAAGCCUGAAAUGGAGUGCUAUUAUUGCAAGGGUAUGGGACACUGGAAGCGCAACUGCCCCAAGUUUCUGGCUGAUAAGAAGGCGGCCAAAGAAAAAUCUGGUAUAUUUGAUAUACAUGUUAUUGAUGUGUACUUAACCAGCUCUCGUAGUAGUGCGUGGGUAUUCGAUACCGGUUCUGUUGCUCACAUUUGCAACUCGAAAUAGGAACUGCGGAAUAAGCGAAGGCUUGCAAAGGAUGAAGUGAUGAUGCGCAUGGGAAAUGGUUCCAAGGUUGAUGCAAUCACCGUCGACACAGUUUCACUUCAGUUACCAUCAGGAUUAGUUAUGAACUUGAAUAAUUGUUAUUUAGUGCCUGCGUUAAGCAUGUACAUUAUAUCUGGAUCUUGUUUAUUGCGAGACGGUUACUCGUUUAAGUCAGAGAAUACUGGUUGUUCUAUUUCUAUGAGUAAUAUCUUUUAUGGUCAUGCACCCAAUGUGAGAGGAUUGUUCAUAUUGAAUCUUGAUAGUGAUAAUACACAUAACAUUGAGACCAAAAGAGUUAGAGUUAGCAAUGAUAGCGCCAUGUUUCUGUGGCACUGCCUCUUAGGUCAUAUUGGUGUAAAGCGCAUGAAGAACCUCCAUACCGAUGGACUUUUGGAGUCAAUUGACUUUGAUUCACUUGACACGUGCGAACCAUGCCUCAUGGGCAAGAUGACUAAAACUCCGUUCUCCGGAACAAUGGAGCGUUCAAGUGACUUGUUGGAAAUCAUACAUACUGAUGUGUGUGGUCCGAUGAGUGUGGAGGCACGCGGCGGAUAUCUUUAUUUUCUCACCUUCAUUGACGAUUUGAGUAGAUAUCCCUAUGUCUACUUGAUGAAGCACAAGUCUGAAACAUUUAAAAAGUUCAAGCAAUUUCAGAGUGAAGUUGAAAAUCAUCGUAACAAAAAGAUCAAGUUCCUACGGUCUGAUCGUGGGGGUGAAUAUCUGAGAUUCGAGUUUGGUGCUCACUUAAGACAAUGUGGAAUUGUUUCACAGUUGAAACCGCCUGGAACACCACAACGUAAUGGUGUGUCCGAACGUCGUAAUCGUACUUUAUUAGAGAUGGUGUGAUCUAUGAUGUCUCUUACCGAUUUGCCGUUAUCGUUUUGGGGUUAUGCAUUAGAAACAGUUGCAUUCACUUUAAAUAGGGCACCAUCGAAAUCCAUUGAGACGACACCAUACGAACUGUGGUAUGGCAAAAGACCAAAGUUGUCGUUUCUUAAAGUUUGGGGAUGUGAUGCUUAUGUCAAAAAGCUUCACCUUAAAAAGCUGGAACCCAAAGCGGAAAAGUGCGUCUUCAUAGGUUACCCAAAGGAGACAGUUGGGUACACCUUAUAUCUCAAAUCCGAGGGCAAAGUGUUUGUUGCUUAGAACGGAGCUUUUCUCGAGAAGGAGUUUCUCUCGAGAGAAUUGACUGGGAGGAAGAUAGAACUUGAUGAGGUUGUCGAACCUCUCAUCCCUCUGGAUGGUGGCACAAGGCAAGGGGAAACCCCUAUCGUUGCGACGCCGGUUGAGGAGGAAGUUAAUGAUGAUGAUCAUGAAACUCCGGAUCAAGUUCCUGUCGAACCUUGCAGGUUGAUGAGACCGCGUACUACUCCAGAGUGGUACGGUAAUCAUGUCUUAUCAAUUAUGAUGUUGGACAACAAUGAGCCUGCGAAUUAUGAAGAAGCAAUGGUGGGCCCGGAUUCCAACAAAUGGCUGGAGGCCAUGAAGUACGAGAUAGGAUCUAUGUAUGAAAACAAAGUGUGGACUUUGGAAGUACUACCUGAAGGCCGCAAGGCUAUUCAGAACAAAUGGAUCUUUAAGAAGAAGACGGACGCUGACGGUAAUGUGACCGUUUAUAAAGCUCGACUUGUGGGAAUGGGUUUUUCACAAAUUCAAGGAGUUGACUACGAUGAGACGUUCUCACCCGUAGUGAUUCUUAAGUCCAUCAGAAUCAUGUUAGCAAUAGCUGCAUUUUUCGAUUAUGAAAUCUGGAAGAUGGAUGUCAAAACGGCGUUCCUUAACGGUUUCCUUAAGGAAGAGUUGUAUAUGAUGCAACCCGAAGAUUUUGUCGAUCCUAAAAAUGCUAACAAAGUAUGCAAGCUCCAGCGAUCCAUUUAUGGACUGGUGCAAGCAUCUCGGAGUUGGAAUAAACGCUUUGAUGAGGUGAUCAAAGCAUUUGGGUUUAUGCAAGUGGUUGAAAAUCUUGUAUUUACAAGAAAGUGAGUGGGAGCUCUAUGGCAUUUCAAAUAUUAUAUGUGGAUGACAUAUUGCUGAUUGGAAACAACGUGGAGUUUUUGGAGAGCAUAAAGGAUUACUUGAAUAAAAGUUUCUCUAUGAACGACCUAGGAGAAGCUGCUAAAAUUCUAGGCAUAAAGAUCUAUAGGGAUAGAUCAAAACGCCUGAUAGGACUUUAAAAAGCACAUACCUUGAUAAAGUUUUGAAGAGAUUCAAAAUGGAACAGUCCAAGAAGGGGUUCUUGCCAGUUUUACAAGGUACGAGAUUGAGUAAGACUCAGUGCCCAGCAACUGAUAAAGAUAGAGAGCAUAUGAGCACCGCCCCUAUGCUUCAACCAUAGGUUCUAUCAUGCAUGCAAUGUUGUGCACUAGACCGGAUGUUAGCCUGGCCAUAAGUAUGGCAAGCAGGUUCCAGAGUAAUCCAGGAGUGGAUCACUGGACGACGGUCAAGAAUAUCCUGAAGUACCUGAAAAGGACUAAGGAGAUGUGUCUCGUGUAUGGAGGUGACAAAGACCUCGCCGUAAAAGGUUACGUCGAUGCAAGCUUUGACAGAGAUCCGGAUGACUCUAAGUCGCAGAACGGAUACGUAUUUAUUCUUAAUGGGGGUGCGGUAAGCUGGUGUAGUUCCAAGCAAAGCGUCGUAGCUGAUUCUACAUGUGAAGCGGAGUACAUGGCUGCCUCGGAGGCAACUAACGUGGCUGUCUGGAUGAAGCAGUUCAUGACGGAUCUUGGAGUGGUGCCGAGCGCACUAAAUCCAAUAACCCUGUUUUGUGACAGCACGGGUGCCAUUGCCUUAGCAAAGGAACCACGGUUUCACAAGAAGACCAGACACAUCAAACGACACUUCAACCUCAUCCGCGACUACGUCGAAGGGGAGGAUGUAAAUAUAUGCAAAGUGCACACGGAUCUGAAUGUGGCAGACCCGCUGACUAAACCACUUCCACGGAUAAAGCAUGAUCAACACCAGAACUGUAUGGGUGUUAGAUUUAUUACAAUGUAAUUCGCAUGGUGAUGUGAGGGCUAGAUUAUUGACUCUAGUGCAAGUGGGAGACUGUUGGAAUUAUGCCCUAGAGGCAAUGAUAAAUAAGUCGUUAUUAUAAUUCCUGUAUCAAGAUAAUCGUUUAUUAUCCAUGCUAUAAUUCUAUUGAAUGAAGACUUAGAUACAUGUGUGGAUACAUAGACAAAACACUGUCCCUAGCAAGCCUCUAGUUGGCUAGCCAGUUGAUCAAGGAUAGUCAGGGUCUUCUGACUAUGUACAAGGUAUUGUUGCUUGAUAACUGGAUCACAUCAUUGGGAGAAUCAUGUGAUGGACUAGACCUAAACUAAUAGACGUAGCAUGUUGAUCGUGUCAUUUUGUUGCUACUGUUUUCUGCCUGUCAAGUAUUUAUUCCUAUGACCAUGAGAUCAUAUAACUCACUGACACCGGAGGAAUGCUUUGUGUGUAUCAAACGUCACAACGUAACUGGGUGACUAUAAAGAUGCUCUACAGGUAUCUCCGAAGGUGGCCGUUGAGUUAGUAUGGAUCAAGAUGGGAUUUGUCACUCCGUGUGACGGAGAGGUAUCUCGGGGCCCACUCGGUAAUACAACAUCACACACAAGCCUUGCAAGCAAUGUGACUUAGUGUAAGUCACGGGAUCUUGUAUUACGGAAUGAGUAAAGAGACUUGCCGGUAAACGAGAUUGAAAUAGGUACGCGGAUACCGAAGAUCGAAUCUCGGGCAAGUAACAUAUCGAAGGACAAAGGGAAUGACAUACGGGAUUAUAUGAAUCCUUGGCACUGAGGUUCAAACGAUAAGAUAUUCGUAGAAUAUGUAGGAUCCAAUAUGGGCAUCCAGGUUCCGCUAUUGGAUAUUGACCGAGGAGUCCCUCGGGUCAUGUCUACAUAGUUCUCGAACCCGCAGGGUCUGCACACUUAAGGUUCGGCGUUGUUUUAUGCGUAUUUGAGUUAUAUGGUUGGUUACCGAAUGUUGUUCGGAGUCCUAGAUGAGAUCACGAACGUCACGAGGGUUUCCGGAAUGGUCCGGAGACGAAGAUUGAUAUAUAGGAUGACCUCAUUUGAUUACCGAAAAGUUUUUGGAAUUACCGGGAAUGUACGGGGAGUGACGAAUGGGUUCGGGAUGUUCACCGGGGGGGCAGCCCACUCCGGGGAAGCCCAUAGGCCUUAGGGGUGCCGCACCUGCCCUUAGUGGGCUGGUGGGAAAGCCCAAGAAGGCCCCUCCAUAGGGUAAGAGUAAAUCAAAGAGAAAAGAAAAAAAGGGGAAGUGGGAAGGAAGGGAAGGACUCCACCUUCCAAUCCUAGUUGGACUAGGAUUGUAGGAGGAUUCCUCCUCCCCCCCUUCGGCCGACCCCCUUGGGGCUCCUUGAGCCUAAAGGCAAGGCCCCUCCCGUCCCACCUAUAUAUACGGAGGUAUUAGGGCUGAUUUGAGAGAACUUCGCCACGGCAGCCCGACCACAUACCUCCAUGGUUUUUCCUUUAGAUCGCGUUCCUGCGGAGCUCGGGCGGAGCCCUGCUGAGAUUAGAUCACCACCAACCUCCGGAGCGCCAUCACGCUGCCGGAGAACUCAUCUACCUCUCUGUCUCUCUUGCUGGAUCAAGAAGGCCGAGAUCAUUGUCGAGCUGUACGUGUGCUGAACACGGAGGUGUCGUCCGUCGUGUGACGGAUCGCGGGAUGGUUCGUGGGAUGGUUCACGAGGCGGAUCGAGGGACGUGAGGACGUUCCACUACGUCAACCGCGUUUAUUAACGCUUCUGCUGUGCAAUCUACAAGGGUACGUAGAUCUGAAAUCCCCCUCGUAGAUGGACAUCACCAUGAUAGGUCUUCGUGCGCGUAGCAAUUUUUUUGUUUCCCAUGCGACGUUCCCCAACACACUAUGCUAGGUAGCAUUCCACAUCAAAAAUUCAGUUUUAUCACUUCCCUACUCGAGGACGAGCAGGAGUUAAGCUUGGGGAUGCUUGAUACGUCUCCAACAUAUCUAUAAUUUUUGAUGGUUUCAUGCUAUUAUCCUCUCAAACUUUGGAUGUUUUGUAUGCCUUUUAUAUAUUUUUUGGGACUAACUUAUUAACUCAGUGCCAAGUGCCAGUUNNNNNNNNNNNNNNNNNNNNNNNNNNNNNNNNNNNNNNNNNNNNNNNNNNNNNNNNNNNNNNNNNNNNNNNNNNNNNNNNNNNNNNNNNNNNNNNNNNNNNNNNNNNNNNNNNNNNNNNNNNNNNNNNNNNNNNNNNNNNNNNNNNNNNNNNNNNNNNNNNNNNNNNNNNNNNNNNNNNNNNNNNUGUUUUUGACCCCUUUCAGAGGAGGAUUUUAAACGGAGACCAAAAGGAACGAAACUGCCAAAAAGAUUUUUUUCCGAAACAGAAAAAGAUCGGGAAGCCUGAGAAUCAGGACAGGGGCCCUGCAGGGACCCCACAAGCCCCCUAGCCGCGGCCGGGGCGGCCCGCGCCUCCCAGGAUUGAGGGCUCCCUGGGCCACCUCUUCCCUAGGUCUUUCGCCUAUAAAUUCCCUAAAAUCCUAGAAAAAAAUCAGGAGAUCAUCGAAAGUACUUUUCCGCCGCCGCAAGCUUCUGUCUCCGCAAGAUCCCAUCUAGGACACGUUCUGGUGCCCUGUCGGACGGGGGAUUCGUACGCGGAGAGCUUCUUCAUCAACACCAUGACCUCUCCGAUGAUGCGUGAGUAGUUCACCAUAGACCUACGGGUCCAUAGCUAGUAGCUAGAUGGCUUCUUCUCUUUCUUGGAUCUUCAAUACAAAGUUCUCCAUGAUCUUCAUGGAGAUCUAUCCGAUGUAAUCUUCUUUUGCGGUGUGUUUGUCGAGAUCCGAUGAAUUGUGGAUUUAUGAUCCGAUUAUCUAUGAAUCUUAUUUGAGUUUGUUCUGAUCUCUCUUAUGCAUGAUUUCGCAUCCUUGUAAUUCUCUUCGAGUUGUGGGUUUUGUCUAGCCAACUAGAUCUAUGAUUCUUGCAAUGGGAGAAGUGCUUGAUUUUGGGCUCAUACCGUGUGGUGACCUCACCCAGUGAGAGAAGGUUAGCGAGGCACGCAUCAUGUUGUUGCCAUCAAGGGUAAAAAGAUGGGGUUUUCAUCAUUGGUUUGAGAUUAUCCCUCUACAUCAUGUCAUCUGGCUUAAGGCGUUACUCUGUUCGUCAUGAACUCAAUACACUAGAUGCAUGCUGGAUAGCGGUCGAUGUGUUGAAUAAUAGUAGUAGAUGCAGAAAGUAUCGGUCUACUUGUCUCGGACGUGAUGCCUAUAUAUAUGAUCAUUGCCUUGGAUAUCGUCAUGACUUUGCACCCACCAUAACAUUUGCUCGACAGUAAUUUGUUCACCCACCAUAAUAUUUGCUAUUUUGAGAGAAUCCUCUAGUGAACACUAUGGCCCCCGGGUCUACUCCACGCCAUAUUUUCAGCCUUAUACCUUUUCUUCGUUGCACUUUCCGCCUUCAGAUCUCACUUUGCAAUCAAUCUUGAAGGGAUUGACAACCCCUUUAUAGCGUUGGGUGCAAGCUCUUUGUGUUUGUGCAGGUACUAUGGACUUGACGAGAUUCUCCUACUGGAUUGAUACCUUGGUUCUCAAACUGAGAGAAAUACUUACUACUCCUGUGCUGCAUCACCCUUUCCUCUUCAAGGGAAAACCAACGCAAGCUCAAGAGAUGACAGAAGGUUUCUGUCGACGUAGCAACGUUCUUUCACACUAAGAGGCACACAUCCAAACCUCAAAAGCGCAUGACAACCUCUGCUUCCCUCUGCGAAGAGCCUAUCUUGUACCUUUACUUUUGUCCCUAAAAGAGUCAUGGUGAUCGACACCAAUUCCUUAUUUCGCCUUUAUCUUGGCUAACGUCAUGUGCUAGGGAACGAUCUAUAUUCGUAUGUCAACGUGGAAGUAAGUACUCAUGAAUUAUUAUUGUUGACAUUACCCUUGAGGUAAGUAGUUGGGAGGCGAAACUAUAAGCCCCUAUCUUCCUCUAUGUCCAACUGAAACUUUGAUCUCAUGAGUACCACGUGAGUUUUAGCAAUUGUAGAAGACGAAAGGAUGAUUGAGUAUGUGGAUUUGCUUUACAAGCUCUUAUUUGACUCUUUCUGAUGUUAUGAUAAAUUGCAAUUGCUUCAAUGAUUAAAGGCUAUUGGUUGUUAAUUCUCAAUAAGGUUCUUGAUCUAUACUUUACUUGGUGAAGGAAUUAUCACUUUAUCAUAAGAGAUUAUAUGAUGGUAUUUCUAUUCUAAUUAUGAUCAUGAUACGUGCAUGUUCGUACUUUGUUUUGUCGACACCUCUAUCUCUAAACAUGUGGGCAUAUUUGUUGAUCUCGGCUUCCGCUUGAGGACAAGCGAGGUCUAAGCUUGGGGGAGUUGAUACGUCCAUUUUGCAUCAUGCUUUUAUGUUGAUAUUUAUCGCUUUAUGGACUGUUAUUACACUUCACGGUACAAUACUUAUGCCUUUUCUCUCUUAUUUUAUAAGGUUUACAUGAAGAGGGAGAAUGCCGGCAGCUGGAAUUCUCGUCUAAAAAGGGAGCAAGUUUGAGAUACCUAUUCUGCGCAACUCCAAAAGCCGUGAAAAUCAACGGGGAAUUAUUUUUGAUUUUAUGAAAAAUACUGGGCGGAAGAAGUACCAGAGGGGCGCCACCAGGAGGCCACAAGCCUGCCAGGCCCGGCCUACCCCCCUGGCCGGGCCUGGGUGGCUUGUGGGCCCCCUGUUGCCCCUCCGACGGUCGUCUUUUGCUAUAUGGAGGGUUUCGUCCCAGAAAAAAUCAGAAGGAAGCUUUCGGGAGGAGCCGCCGCCACCACGAGGCAGAACUUGAGCAGAACCAAUCUAGAGCUCCCGCAGGGCCAUCCUGCCGGGGAAAUUUCCCUCCCGGAGGGGGAAAUCAUCGCCAUCGUCAUGACCAACACUCCUCUCAUCGGAGGGGACUCAUCUCCAUGAACAUCUUCAUCAGAACCAUCUCAUCUCCAAACCCUAGUUCAUCUCUUGUAACCAAUCUCUGUCUCGCGACUCCGAUUGGUACUUGUAAGGUUGUUAGUAGUGUUAAUUACUCUUUGUAGUUGAUGCUAGUUGGAUUACUUGAUGGAAGAUUAUAUGUUCAGAUCUUUGAUGCUAUUCAAUACCUCUCUGGUCAUGAACAUAAUUAUGCUUUGUGAGUAGUCACUUUUGUUCCUGAGGCAUGGGAUAAGUCUUGUUACAAGUAGUCAUGUGAAUUUAGUAUUCAUUCGAUAUUUUGAUGUGUUGUAUGUUUUUUUCCUCUAGUGGUGUUAUGUGAACGUCGACUACAUAACACUUCACCAUUAUUUGGGCCUAGAGGAAGGCAUUGGGAAGUAAUAAGUAGAUGAUGGAUGACACGUCUCCAACGUAUCUAUAAUUUUUGAUGGUUCCAUGCUAUUAUCUUGUCAAACUUUGGAUGUUUUGUAUGCCUUUUAUAUAUUUUUUGGGACUAACUUAUUAACUCAGUGCCAAGUGCCAGUUCCUUUUUUUCCGUGUUUUUGACCCUUUUUAGAGGAGAAUAUUAAAUGGAGUCCAAACGGAAUAAAACAUCCGAAAAGAUUUUUUCUGGAACAGAACAUACACAGGGAGCUUGAGAACCAAGGCAGAGGGCACCAGGGGAGGCCACAAGCCCCCUAGGCGCAGCCAGGGGGCCUGCGCCUAGAAGGCUUGUGGGCCCCCCUGGCUCCUCUGCCCUACUUCUUCCGCCUAUAAAUCUCCGAAAAAUCAAAAAACACGGGAGAAAUCCACGAAAAUACUUUUCCGCCGCCGCAAGCUUCGGUCUCCGCAAGAUCCCAUCUGGGGCACGUUCUAGUGCCCUGCCGGAGGGGGGAUUCGGAUACGGAGGGCUUAUUCAUCAACACCAUUGCCUCUCCGAUGAUGCGUGAGCAGUUCACCAUAGACCUUUGGGUCCAUAUCUAGUAGCUAGAUGGCUUCUUCUCUCUCUUGGAUCUUCAAUACAAAGUUCUCCAUGAUCUUCAUGGAGAUCUAUCCGAUGUAAUCUUCUUUUGCGGUGUGUUUGUCGAGAUCCGAUGAAUUGUGGAUUUAUGAUCAGAUUAUCUAUAAAUCUUAUUUGAGUUUAUUCUGAUCUCUUAUAUGCAUGAUUUCAUAUCCUUGUAAUUCUCUUUGAGUUGUGAGUUUUGUUUGGCCAACUUGAUCUAUGAUUCUUGCAUUGGGAGAAGUGCUUGGUUUUCGGUUCAUACCGUGCGGUGACCUCACCCAGUGACAGAAGGGGUAGCGAGGCACGCAUCGUGUUGUUGCCAUCAAGGGUAAAAAGAUGGGGUUUAUAUCUAUUGGAUGAAUUUAUCCCUGUACAUCAUGUCAUCUUGCUUAAGGCGUUACUCUGUUUGUCAUGAACUCAAUACACUAGAUGCAUGCUGGAUAGCGGUCGAUGUGUGGAGUAAUAGUAGUAGAUGCAGAAAGUAUCGGUCUACUUGUCUCGGGCGUGAUGCCUAUAUAUAUGAUCAUUGCCUUAGAUAUUGUCAUGACUUUGCGUGGUUCUGUCAAUUGCUCGGCAGUAAUUCAUUCACCCACCGUAAUAUUUGCUAUCUUGAGAGAAGCCUCUAGUGAACACUAUGGCCCCCGGGUCUACUUCACAUCAUAUUUUCAGCCCUACACCUUUACUUUGUUGCACUUUCUGCCUUCAGAUCUCACCUUGCAAUCAAUUGUGAAGGGAUUGACAACCCCUUUGUAGCGUUGGGUCCAAGUUUGUUGUUUUUGUGCAGGUACAUCGAUGCUUCAUCUUGAUACUCCUACUGGAUUGAUACCUUGGUUCUCAAACUGAGGGAAAUACUUACUACUAAUGUGCUGCAUUACCCUUUCCUCAUUAAGGAAAAAAACCAACGCAAGCUCAAGAGGUAGGAAUGGGUUGCUACAGUGACAAAAGCUUAAACCCUAGUUUAUGUGUUGCUUCGUAAGGGGCUGAUUUGGAUCCACUAGUUUAAUGCUAUGGUUAGACUUAGUCUUAAUUCUUCUUUCGUAGUUGCGGAUGCUUGCGAGAGGGGUUAAUCAUAAGUGGGAUGUUUGUCCAAGUAAGGGUAGCACCCAGGCACCGGUCCACCCACAUAUCAAAUUAUCAAAGUAGCGAACACGAAUCAUAUGAGCAUGAUGAAAAUUAGCUUGACAAAAAUUCCCAUGUGUCCUCGGGAGCGCUUUACCUCCUAUAAGAGUUUGUCCAGGCUUGUCCCUUGCUACAAAAGGGAUUGGGCCAUCUUGCUGCACCUUUGUUACUAUUGUUACUUGCUACUCGCUACGAAUCAUCUUAUCACACUACUAUCUGUUAUCGAUAAUUUCAGUGCUUGCAGAGAAUACCUUGCUGAAAACCACUUGUCAGUUCCUUCUGCUCCUCGUUGGGAUGGACACUCUUACUUAUCGAAAGGACUACGAUAGAUCCCCUACACUUGUGGGUCAUCAAGGAGGCCUUGCUGUCUAUGCUGGUCCUUGCCAGUAAUGUCGGCAGCUGGAUAGGCCUUGUCCAGGGGUGCGGAUGGUGGCGCAAAGAGAUGGGUGUUGUCCCCUUGCGAGUGGUGCUUGGUGGCAAAAGCAGGCCUCCUUCCCCUAACUCGAGGCGAUGGCAUGGCGGAGAGUUAUGGCUCUUUCAUGGGCGGAUCUUGUCCAGGCCCGGGGCAAGUCGGAGUUCACCCUCCAAGUUGGUGUGCUCGGGUUCAAUCCUGGUGGUGCCUGUGGGCGUUGAGGUCCCUCUAAUGGGUACGGUGGGAGUUGAUGGUGGUCAGUGAUUCUCUACACUGUCGGCAGGUCGGCGCUAAGGACCAUGGAAAUGGUGUCGUGUGAUCAUGCUCCACAAUGGUCGUCGAGAGUCAUGGGGUAGUGUCUCCCUGAGUCCACGCGGUCCGACUAGAGACGUAGGCAUGGGUGCCUCCUACAAUGGAAGCAUGUACCCAUACUCGAUGACUGAUGUUGGGCUAGGAACGAAAGGAGAUUCCUUUGACUCGUCCUACGGUGGAUGCACCGUGACAUGGACGGUUAGUAAAGACUUGGACAUGAAUGACGACAUGGUGCCCCCGGAUGGCAUUCUGCAUGGUUGGCUCUCCAGCGGACACCAUGGCGGUGAUGAUGGCAUUCUCUCUUGGUUGUGUGGACGGCGAGAGGUGGUGCAACGGGUGGCUCGGGUGUGCUAUUUGUCUCUGACGAUGAUGGUGCCUUGAUCCGGAUAUGGAUUUAUGGGCUCAUCGCGCUUGCCCUAGAGACCUUGUUUAUUGACGCGGGGAGUUGUCAAGCGAAAGCUUUGUACUCUGCCGCCGACGAUGAUGACAGUUAUGGGCGCAGUUAUCUUCUUGAAUACGUCGCCGUGGUGCUCCUCUCCGUGCCCGGGUUUCGGGACAAUACCUAUGUCUUUUUUGGAAUCGGCAACGCCAACUCUUAGCUAGCUUCCGCAAAAUAUAUGUAACAAUUUAACUAGCUACAAAGCUAGCAUCCGUCAAAUAUACGAAGGGAAACGUUUGUGGCCGGUGCGUCGGCCGAACCAUUCGGUUGUGGCCGGUGCGUCGGUCGAACCGUUCGGCCGGUCGCACGCGAUCCGCGCAUGCAGUUGAUUAGACAUGCAACUUUUUUCCGUCUAAAUUUGCUGCAAUCAGCGUUCAUUUUUUGUACAAGCGUUUUCUAUUUGCUACAUUUGUUCAGUAAAAAAGCUACACAUACGUUUGGUUGCAACUUCAGUUCGUCGGAUGUUUCAUUACAACUGGUGUUUUUUUACUUUUGCUACAACCGUAUUAAUUUUUGCUCCAACCGGUAUCAUUUUUUGCUGCAACCGUUCAUUAAAAAAGUUGCAUACACGUUCUUCAAAGUUGCAACCCGAGUUCACCGGAUUGUUUUUGCUACAACCCACAUUUUGUUUUCCUACCACGCAUCAUCAACAUCGUUUUUUACUACGACCACGUUGAUAUUUUUUUCCUACAACGAUAUUUUUGUUGCAACCGUGACCGAAAUUUGCUGCAUCGUGAUUGAAAUUUGGUGCAUCGCGGAAAUUUUCUGCAAAGAUAGAUCUGACGGUACGACCUGCAUGCGACCGGCAGAUUGGACGACCCACAUGCGGCCAGCCAAAAGUUUUGACCGGCGCGCCGGCGCAAAGGGCUGCCCUAUCCAUAUACGAAUCAAUUGUUUGCUUCGAUUUUCUUGCUUCAGCCAAACACGGCGUGAUUAGUAGUAGAGGGCGGAACUAAUCUAGCCAGCUUUUACAUGCUUGCUUCCGUCCAAUCUUAUAGCAUUAGAAGAAAAAAGCAAAGAAAAAAAAAGAAAUAAAGUGAUUAGCGGCCAAUAUCCCAUAAAGUGACACGCACGUUUAUAUAGGGCGCGCUGGCCGAACUGUUUCGGCCGGACGCACCGCGUUCGUUUGAUCUGCGCGGAUGACGCGUUCCCCUUUGCGCAGGCCAUCGUUGCCCCCUCGCAUACUUCCCCCACGCGCUCCCCUGCGCUGUUGCCGUCGACAUCGCCGGUCCAUGGCUUCGAUGGGCAGAUCCGCGGUGUUCCUUCAAGCCGGCAUGCCUCCCAUGUAGGAUCUCGUCUCGCCGGCUGUCAUGAAGUCGCAUCGGAUGCCACCGGUGUUGGAGACGAAAAGCUAUGACAGAGACGACGAUGUUGCAAUCUGCGACGAAAAUGGCUUCAAACCGGCGAUCAAAAAUGCUACAACCGGCAUUAUCGAAAGCUUCAACCAAAGACGAGGGGAAUCAAGGACCACCCACCAUGCAAAACGCGAAUGUUGCAACCGGUGAUGAAAAAAGUUUCAACCGGCGAGAAAAAAGUUUCAACCGACGAUAUAAAAAGCUUCAACCGGCAACAACGAAACACAAAAAGCUGCAAUCGUUGACACAAAAGCUUCAACCAUAUGUUUGAAAAGCCUCAACUACGGACCAGCGAGGAAAGCCUGUCAUUUUUGCUACAACCAACAAAAAUCUUCAAGUGACAUGAAAAAAGCUUCAACCAUUGUGGAAAAAGCUUCAAGUGACAUGGAAAAAGUUUCAACCAAUGUGAAAAAAGCUUCAAACCAGAGUUUGGGAGGACAAGCCUGUGCACGCACGAGCAUCAACGACGACGAGCGGUGACGACAGGGGGGAGAGGGAUGGGGUGCUCGUGCGGCGGGAGGUCGGAGGUGUGCGGGGUUGUGCGCAGAUCUGACGGGGGCGCGCAGGAAGGUGCGGGGACCAGAUGCCAGAUCUGACAGCUAUCGUAGUCAGAUCGAACGGUUGUCGCCCGACCGACGGGAGCGCUCACGCCGGUGCGCCGGCGCAGAGCGGUGUAGUGUCUAGCGCUAUCAGUCCAUAGAGAGCUAUUGAACAAUGAUUACUCUGUCCUUAUAAAUCUUAUUGACAGAAAAAGGAAUAAUUCUUGAUAUUGUUUUAGGAAGGGGGAAUCACAUGCAAAAGGUGAAGCCUAACGGAGACCGGAGGCGUUAUAAGGGCAUCUCUAAAACAGACCCUAAAACCCCCACUACAAAAAAGUGUUAAUCCGUGACCGAUAUCUGCUGACGUUCUUGUAAACCGUUAUAGAAACCGUCACUGAAUACCCAAAUGCUAAUGUGCCUCACAACCCCGGAUCCUUUAUGACAGAUGUCAAGGGACUGUCACGAAAACUGUCAUCGAUCAAUCAACACGGCCUAAUAGGGCCUAGCUUUUUCUUUCUUUAUGCACCAUUUAGUCCGUCACGGAUGAAUAUUGCUAUGUGUCGUGCAUGCCUUUUGGUUUGAUCCACCUAUCAGUCGGAUGUGAUCAACAUUACACAUACAUUAAAAAAAAGACCAAAACCUAGAGAGCGCGCGUGAUGGCGCGCGAAGGAAAAUUUCAAGUCUGUAGCGCGGGGCGUCAAAAUUUUUUAGCCAGCGAGAAAAGGGAGAAAAAAUCCCAUGAGAGAGAGAGGGCGCCCAGCCGCCCACCUACCUCCAGUUCCACCUCUUCCCUCUCUGUCUCGUGACCGCGCUCCUCUCUCCCCAUGAUCCCCUUUCCCUCGCCGCCGCCACCACCAACGCCGACCUAUUCCGGUGAGCUCCGACGACGGGAAGCACUCCCUCGAGCUCCACGCCUCCUUCCCCUCCGUCUACAAUCGGCGCUCCCGCCCUCCAUCGUCCCCCGUGGUAGCUAGGGUUUCGGCCACCAUUUCAUCUCCGGCGACGGCGAGGCCAACGGGCGGUGGAUCCAGCAUCGACGUGUCCCAGGUUGGUACUUCCAUGCCACUCAUUUCUCGUGCAGAUUCUCCCUCCCCACCUCACCUCACCAUCUCCUCCUUUUCUUCCCUUUGCUAUAGAUAACGGUGACGGGGAUGGGACGGCGAUAGCCGUGUCCUGCUCGAGGAGGCGGAGGGGUAGGGGCGCGCCCAGCUGGCAGCCCUGUCCUGCUCGAGGGGGAGGGGCAGGAGGGGUAUGCGCCUCAAGGUUCAUGAACCCUAGCUAGCUACUCAUUCUAUCUUCGAUAUUCUGCAGCAAUCAGAUGCGGACUACGCUAAUUCGCUCCUUGUGCUUGCUUUACCAGUAGCAGCAGCCGCAGUGUGGGCAGAGGCGAUAGGCUACGACCAUCAGCACGAUGAGGGGGAGGCAGGUUGCUGCUACUGCCAUAUGCGGGUCUGUCUCCUCUUCAGCUUCAGCUUCAAUAUCUAUUGCACGGACUGAUGUUUUCAAUGUGUCAUGGUAACCGAUGUUAAUCAACCAUGUAAUUUUUUAUCUGAACCGAAGCUUUAGCUAGUUCAUUAGGCAAGUCGGGACCUACUCCACAAAUACUAAGCAAACCUAAUCUGAAAUUAAACUGCAGUCCGUAAGACAGAAGCAUGCAUCACAUGUUAUCAUGGAUUUAAUUGCUUGAAGCUUGGGGGGUUUUGAUCGAAGUUGAGUUUAAUCCUGCAACUUUGUUUAACUAGAUCAUGCUGGUGUUAAGGCUGGGAAUCAUAAUAUCGAUGGCCUGGCCAUGUUUUUAGGAGUUGAAUCGAAGAUACUCUGUGUUGUUGCACAAACUGAGUCAGAUCAAUGUUCAGAGGUAAUAUGUUUCUGCCCGUAAUUUUCAUUGACUGUCAGCAUGUUCCUUUUUUAUUCAGUACUCUGUAUAUCACGGGGGUAUGACUAUAAUAAGGAUAUAUGGCUGAUGCAUUUUGAACUUCUCUGUUCCUUGGGACAGAACAGAGCUGAUAAAUUAUCUAUUCUUUUUGGCUUUAGUAGUACGAACAGAAAACAGGCAGUAAUAAACGGAGGGAGUACUAUUUUGUUAAUGAAACGGGGUCAUUAUUACGCAUUUUAUCCAACACUAAUGUGCCCUAAAAUUACAGAUCGAUUCAUUCAUCUCAUACCUUUUUGUGAGAGAGUCUGAUGGAUUUCAGUGAGCUUUGCCAAGGUUUUAUCCUCUGUUCCUUGGUACAUUCUUUUACUAUACAACAAUUGGUGUGAUUUUUUUUGUUUAGCUGUACGUUGUAGGAACACAGAACCUGGUUAUUUCAUUAUAUUCGUUGUCUAAUUUAUUUUCUACUACGAGGGAUCAAGUUCAGUAAUUUCUUUUAUCUUCUUUCUUCCUCACAAUUUUACAUUUACUCACUGAGCAGUAAAGGUCUUGGACCUGAAAUUCUUGUAGUACUAAUUUAACAUAAUUGUUCUUCGAGAAAAUGGCUUGUGAAGGUCUUGGACACUGCAAAAAUGGUUUGUCUUGGGUCUUAAUCAUAUUUUCUCUGAACAUUCUGAGCUUGACGUGCUCCUAAUUUACUCAAUGAAUUCAUCCAGGUUGCAGUCCUCAUAGGUUGUCCUGGCGAACUCCAAGACGACGUCGAAGAAAGACUCCGGUUGUACGUCUUGCCCAUAAGGAGGUAAAUACAUAUUCCAAACUCUUCUGUCAUUGCCUAACUUGUUUGUUAGCAGCAAUAUAUAAAACUAUAUAAACUGAACUGCCAACACAUUAUAGCUAAUAUUUUAGUUUGAAAUAUCUGCCAUGCUAUUUUAACAUUGGAAGUUCAAGAACAAUAUACAUAUUCGUGAGCAUGAUGUAUAUGUCUAUGAGCGAAAUAUUUCAAAUUGUAUGUAUAUGUCAGAGUUGCGCAUGUAACUGAGAAAACAGAUCGCUGCUUGUCUACUCAUGUAAUCGAAACUUGAUUUUGUGUUCUACUUGAUGAAUAUGAAAUGAUCUGUCCAUACUUUGUUUUAAAAUGACGUUGACCUUUUUAUGUUUGGACGAUAAAAUGUCGCAUUUGUACAACUAAUGUCAUUCCUCUACAUAUUCAUUUGGGAGUUGUCUGUUAUGUAGUGUAAUUCUUUGUGUUUUGGAUUCUUUGCAGGUUUGGCAGUUAGUUCGUGUUACUAUCGAUCGAGGAUUUUUAGCAGGAAUUACUUGGGUCUGAAAAGCUUCCUGGAAGUGGUGGUGUAGUGUUGGAGAUUAAAAUUAUGUAGUAGUGCAGUUUCAAUGAUGUCAUGUUACUUGAUUUUUAUUAAAUGCUUAUGCUUACAACACCUUGUAAAUAUCCUUGUGAUGUUUUGAUAUUAAUUUUGCUUUUUGAAAUCAGAUCAGAUUUUUGGAAAUUUGUAUUGUCUUGUUGAAUGAAUAUAAUUGCAUGUCUUGUUGUAAAAUAUGAUUGAGAAGAUGAGCUGGGGUGAA
rnacentral:lncRNA from 1 species